GAUGAACGCUGGCGGCGUGCCUAAUACAUGCAAGUCGAGCGAACAGACGCGGAGUUCUCGCCUGUGGAGUUGGCGACGGGCGGGUGAGUAAUAAGUAGAUAACCCACCUAUAUGACAGGGAUAACGUCGAGAAACCGUAGCUAAGACAGUACACUAAUUUUAACCGCAGGGUUGAUUAGUGAAAUACGGUUGUUCUGGCAUGUCUUGACGGACUCGCGCCGCAUUGGCUAGGUGGUAAGGUAACGGCUUACCAAGGCAACGAUGCGUAGCCGAGCUGAGCGGGGGAUCGGCCACAGUGGAACUGAGAAACGGUCCACAGUCCUAAGGGAGGCAGCAGUAGGGAAUCUUCCGCAAUGGGCGAAAGCUUGACGGAGCAACGACGCGUGAGUGAUGAAGGUCUUCGGCUCGUAAAACUCUGUUAUUAGGGAAGAACAGUUGUGUAAGUAACUAUGCUCGUCUUGACGGUAGCUAAUCAGAAAGCCACGGCUAACUACGUG
rnacentral:rRNA from 1 species